rnacentral:lncRNA from 1 species
CUCACUGUGUACACACCUCACAAUGUGGCAAGACUUUCUUCUUCCAAAGAAGCUGCCAAUCUCCAAGCAGUCAUACAAAUGGAGCCAAUGACAAAUGUGCUAGACUUCUUUUACCAGGAUCUACCAGACUGACCUUGUAAAAAGUUCAUAACUGCUAAACUACAAUACAACUUCUGUGUCAGAAUCUGAAGUCCUCUGGACUUUCUCCUUGUCCUCUUUGUGUGAGGCUAUCACCAGUUUCUCCUGAUGGAAAUGCUUGUUGGCUAUAUUCAUAAAAAUCCUGCUGACAUUA